rnacentral:rRNA from 1 species
AUUGAACGCUGGCGGCAUGCCUUACACACGCAAGUCGAACGGCAGCACGGGAGCAAUCCUGGUGGCGAGUGGCGAACGGGUGAGUAAUGUAUCGGAACGUACCUUUCAGUGGGGGAUAACGUAGCGAAAGUUACGCUAAUACCGCAUAUUCUGUGAGCAGGAAAGCAGGGGAUCGCAAGACCUUGCGCUGAUUGAGCGGCCGAUAUCAGAUUAGCUAGUUGGUGAGGUAAAGGCUCACCAAGGCGACGAUCUGUAGCGGGUCUGAGAGGAUGAUCCGCCACACUGGAACUGAGACACGGUCCAGACUCCUACGGGAGGCAGCAGUGGGGAAUUUUGGACAAUGGGCGCAAGCCUGAUCCAGCCAUGCCGCGUGAGUGAAGAAGGCCUGGUU